rnacentral:lncRNA from 1 species
GUAGUUCUGGGGCAUAAAAUCUUGGAAUCAAGUCCAACUCGGUGCUAAAUACUACUCUCAUACUUAGGCUUAAAAUUUUUUAAGAAAAUCCACUUUAAAUAAUAAUAUAAUGUGUAAUGGAAGCUAACUAUGCUUCGCUUUGCUUUAAAUCGUAGAUAAAAGUGGAUUCCUAUCUUAGCUUAGGAUCAAAGCUCAACCUUCUUUAUAAUCAAAGUACUUGCUUGUUAAGUCAUUCUAAUACAUUAUUUUCAAGAAACAUCACAAUUCAUACUUGACUUAAAGCAUAUAUACAUACUCAAAUAGUCAUAAUUUCAUAAUGAAGCUUAAAUCUUGACUUCAACCUUGGGAACACUCAAAAACAUCAAUUCAUGGUAGGGAUGUGCAAUUCGUAGAAUAAUUCCCCAAAUUCAAACAUAAAUAAGUGAAAUAACAUGCAAUUUCAAGACAGGAGCAAUUUAUAAAUUCAUAACCUCAAAGUAAAGUAAAUUGGGCAAAACCUAGUUUCAAAAACAUGAAAUUCUUUAAUAAAAAUCAAAACUUUGAGCACAAGAACGGAAUGAAUUUGAAUGAAAAUCCCACAUACCUUAUAUUAUGGAAUUUGAAUGAAAUCUCACUUUUGUGACUCUAUUCGCGACUUUGAACGAAUAUUCUUGAUACCCUUGGUCUGGGAAUUCUGAUUCUUGAAGAAAUUUUAAAAAGUGAUGGUUAAAUCUUGAGUUCUCUUGAGCUUUGGGUUGAAACCCUAGAAAGUGUUCUUGGUGAACUUUAGAGAAGAAGGCUAUAUUUUGGUAUUUGGGGACCUUAAUCCCAUGUUAUGAAUGAUAGAGGGUGGGGGUAAAAAACUAAAUUACCCCUCUUGGAAGCGGAUCUUAAAAUCUAAAAAACUGGGCAUCAACGCAAUUGGUGAUGCGGCGUGUCGAUGCCAUCGACGCGAUACUGACGCGUCGCGCCAUAAUUGUGCCAAGCCUCAGUACUUUUGACUGGCAGUUCUUGCAAUAAAAUUGACCAAUGCGAUGGGCGAUGCAAAGCACCAAAUCGCGUUGGUUUACUAUUUUGGGACACCAAACGUGGUGCGAAAAUUCUAAAACUUGUUCGAGAACACCUAUUGACUUCCCUGAUCAUGAAUUAGCUAAAAUAUCAACUAUCAAAGGUCGAGAAGGUUGGUAGUAAAAUCCUCAAAGUUUCGAGGAUCUAGAAAUGACUAAGUCCCAGCACUUAGCUAGAUUUUCUAAGUCUAGGAACUCUUUGGGCAUCGUUUAAGGGAUUUAGACGAUGAGAAUUUUGUAGGGUCUUACAAUAUCUCCCCCUUGGGAACAUUCGUCCUCGAAUGCCAUUAGUUAGGUUAAGAAUAUAGGGAAAGCUAAAGAUGUACAGCUGAAAGAAUUUAUUAAACUGACUCUACAUCGUCAUAAACUUUGAGUACUUUAAAGAAUACAUGGACUCAUAAUGAGAAUAGCUAUAUAGCUGAAUCUUUGGUUAAAGAGAAUGAAUUAAGAAAGAAUAGUACCUUCAUCUUGAUAUGAACUUGUGGAGAAGAUAUGGGGGUACUUGGCAUAUCUACUUCUGCUUCCCAAGUAGCACCCUCAACUGACUGGUUUUGCCAUAAAACUUUGACCAAAGGAACUUCUUUAUUCCUUAGUCUACGAAUCUAAUGGUCUAGGAUCUCAACUGGAAUCUCUUUAUAUGAAAGACUGUUCUAAAUGUCUAAGAUCUCUGAAGGAUCUACUAUAAAGGAAUCACCAAUGUGCUUCUUAAGCAUGAAGACGUGAAAGACAGGAUGAACAGCUGACAAAUCUGCGGGCAACUCUACCUUAUAAGCUACUUUCCCAACAUGGCUUAGAAUUUUAUAGGGGAUAACAUAAAGGGGACUAAGCUUCCCCUUCUUGACAAAUCUUUUCACCCUUUUCAUAGGUGAAAUCUUCAAAUACACCAAAUCACCUACCUCAAACUUAAGGUCCCUUCCCCUCACAUCUACAUUUGACUUUUCUUCAAUCUCUCACUAAUCAUCUUGACUUUGUCCAUAGCCUCAAACACUGCAUCAGGUCCAAUUAUAUCAGCUUCACCCACUUCAAAUCAACAUAUGGGUGAUCUAUAUCUCCUCCCAUAAUGAGCCUCAAACGAGGCCAUCUGAAUGCUAGAAUGAUAAAUAUUGUUAUACGUAAAUUCAAUCAAUGGAAAAUGCUCAUCCCAACUUUCUUUAAAAUCAAGGGCACAUGCCCUCAACAUAUUUUUCAGAUUCUGGAUGGUCCUCUCAUCCUGACCAUCUGUCUAUAGAUAAAAGGCAAAACUAAGAUGCACUUGGGUACCAAGACCCUUCUGAAAAGCUCUCCAAAACUGAGAAGUAAACGGAGUACCCCUAUCUAAGAUGAUAGACAAGGGAACUCCAUGCAAUCUGACUAACUCUCAGAUAUACAACUUAGCAUAAUCCCCAGUUGUAUAAGAUGUAUGCACUGGCAGGAAAUGUACUACUUAUUUAACCCAUCUACCACAACCCAAAUAGAAUUAUGAUGAUAAUGUGAAAGGGGUAAACUAAUCACGAAAUCCAUAUUCACAUCUUCCUACUUCCAAGUGGGUAUACCAAAUUCUUGCAUUGCACCACCAGGUCUUUAGUGCUCUACCUUAACUUGUUGAUAAGUUGUACACUUUUCCACUAACUCUGCUAUAUCCUUCUUCCUACCACUCCACCAAUAGAUUUCCCAUAAGGCGUGGUACAUCUUGGUAGUGCCGAGAUGAAUAAAAUAUCGCGUACCAUGUGCUUCAGCCAUAAUUCUCUGCCUCAAAUCACAAACACAAAGAACACACAAUCUACCCUGAAACCUCAACACACUAUCUCCCCCUUGGAAGAAAACUUCUACUCUUUGGUCCUUAACUGACUUAUUCAGUUUGACCAAACUAUGAUCUAUGUCUUUCUUCUCCUUUACUUCUGAAACUAAGGAGGAUUCAGAACUACUCUGAACCCACACAUUACCUUCAACUGAAUCAAAUAACCUAACACCUAAUCUAGCCAAACGAUGAUCUUCACAAGCUAAUUCUUUCUUAUCCUUCUCCACAUGAGCCACACUACCUAUAGACAAUCGACUAAGGGUGUCUGCCACUAUAUAUUGGCCUUGCCCAGAUGUAUAACACACUUAUAUCAUAAUCUUUUAGCAACUCUAACCAUUUUCUUUGUUAAAGAUUCAACUCUCUCUGAGUAAACAUAUACUGCAGGCUUUUUUGAUCAGUAAACACAUCAACAUAAACACCAUAAAGAUAGUGUCUCCAGCUUUUCAAAGCAAAAACCACAGCAGCUAAUUCAAGAUCAUGGGUUGGGUAAUUCUUUUUAUGUGGUUUCAACUGAUUAGAGGCAUAGGCUAUAACCUUACCUCUCUGCAUCAACACAUAACCCAGGCCAACUCUAGAGAUAUCAUAAUACACCACAAAACCAUCCGUACCAUUGGGAAAAGUUAAUACAGGGGCUGAAGUGAGUCGAGUCUUCAACUCCUGAAAACUCUUCCCACACGAAUCUAACCAUAGGAACUUAACUUUUUUUUGGGUCAAUCGGUUUAUGGGAGAUGUAAAGAAGAGAAACCUUUGACAAAAUGGCGGUAAUAUCCAGCUAGACCUAAGAAACUCCUAAUGUCUGAUGAAGAUACAAGUCUAGGACAAUUUCUUACAGCUUCUAGUUUUUGGGGAUCAACUCUAAUGCCUUCGGCUGAAAUAAUAUGACCCAAAAAAGCUACUGACCUUAACCACUCACACUUACUGAAUUUGGUGAAUAAUUAAUGAUUUCUAAGAGUCUGCAGGACAAUUCUAAGAUGGUCUACAUGGUCAUCCUCACUACGGGAGUACAUAAGAAUAUCAUCUAUGAAUACUAUGAAAAACAUAUCUAGAUACUAUUUGAAUGCUCGAUACAUGAGAUCCGUGAAAGCUGCUGGAGCAUUGGUUAGCCCGAAAGAUAUGACUAAAAACUCAAAAUGAACAUAGCGGGUUUAAAAGGCUGUCUUUGGAAUAUAACACUCUCUUACUUUAAGCUGAUGAUAGCCGGAUCUAAGGUCUAUCUUUGAGAAAUAAGUUGCACCUUGCAAUUGAUCAAAUAGGUCAUCAAUUCUAGGAAGAGGGUACUUAUUCUUGAUUGUGACCUUAUUAAGAUGAUGAUAGUCAAUACACAUACACAAAGAACCAUCUUUCUUUCAUACGAACAGGACGGGUGUGCCCCAAGAAGGAAUACUGGGCCUUAUGAAACCUUUGUCUAGAAGAUCUUUGAGUUGCUCUUUCAACUCCUUAAGUUCUAUGAGGCCAUAUGGUAUGGAGGGAUAGAAAUAAGUUGUGUAUCAGGAAGAAGGUACCCCUGGGAGAUUUUCUAGAAAAACAUCAGGAAACUCAUUAACUAUGUUGACUAAUUGAAUAGUUGGAGUCUCAGACAUAGCGUCUAACUGAAUAGUUGGAGUCUCAGACAUAGCGUCUUUAACUCGAGCUACAUAAUAGAUGCAAGCUUUGGAUAUCAACUUUCUAGCUUUAAGAUAGGAUAUAAAAUGACUCUUGGGAGAUACAAAAUUUUCGGACUACUCAAAGACUGGCUCAUCUAGGAAUUGAAACUUAACCACACGAGUACGACAGUCUAUAGCUGCAUAACAAAAAUGAAGCCAAUCCAUACCCAAAAUAAGAUCAAAAUCGACCAUAUCUAACUCUAUCAAAUCAGCGAAUAUGACCUUAUAAAGAACAGUAAUAGGACACUUUUUAUAAACUUGCUUAGCAAUAACUGGCUCACCUACUGGGGUAGAAACUAGGAUAGGUUCAGAGAUCUUUUAAAGAUUUAUCUUAAAAUUCACAGCAACUAAUGAGUUCACAUAAGAGAAACUUGACCCAGGGUCCAACAACACAUAAACAUCAAAGUGAAAAACACGGAGCAUACUAGUAACAACAUUUAGAGAAUCCUCAUAUUCCUGAUGGGAUGGUAAGGAAUACAAUUAAUUCUGGCACUGACCGCCAGCUGUGCUGGAUGAAGCACCCUGGGGAGGGGCUGGAUGGGCUAAAGGAGUUGGUGCACUGGAAGCCUGAUUCUGGGGUCGAACAUCUCUGUUCCCUUGCCUAGCAUGUGGAUACUCUCUAAGUCAGUGGCCUAACUUACCAUAACCAAAACAACCCCUCUAUUAGGUCAAACACUCAUCGGGAUGGGUUCUACCACACUUAGAACUUGGGGGAUAACUGGGCCUGUUACUCACACUAUUCUAGGAUCUGGACAUAGAAGACUUAUUCCCCUACUCUUACCUAUUUCUGGGUGUGGUAGCACUAGCUAAUAAAGCUGCUGGCAUAGACGAACGGCUCUGAAACUGCAGCCGGUUCCCUCCAUGGGAUCUAGUCUUACCAUACUCAUAUUGCUCUGCUCUAUCCCUCUUAUUUUCUCUUACUCUAUCUCUCUCCUUUAUCUUAUCUGCCUCAAUCUACUGAGCAUGCAUCAUCAGUCUGGAAAGAUCUAUUUCUCUAUUGAGCAUAGCAAUCCUACACUUCUUAACAACUGAUCCAGACAUACUAGUCAUAAACUUACUUAUACUGGUUACGGGGUCACCCAUAAAAUCAGGAGCAUACUUGGAUAACUGGUAAAAAUUGAGGCAAUACUCAUUUACUGUCAAAGAUCUUUGCCUCAGUUUCAUAAAGUCCUUUAUCUUUAUUUCCCUAAUCUCAAAUGGGAAGAACUUAUCCAAGAACAUAUCCUGAAACACCUACCAAGUCAUAGGAGCUGCUUUCUCCCCUUUACUCUUCCUUCACAUAACAACCCAAUCAUAUGCAAUAUCUUUCAGCUUAUAAGAUACCAAUUCUACACUCUCUUCCUCAGAAAUAUACAUAACAUGGGUGAUCUUCUUCACCUCAUCAAGAUAUAAUUAUGGGUCCUCACCUGCUUUCGACUUAUAGAACUCUGGCAAAUUCUUCCUCAUAAAAUCUCAAAUCCUGGCUACAGCUAAAUCACCUCCUUCCUAAUGCAGAACUGUAGCCUCGUUAUUGGCUUGAACAUUUGCGGUGACCCCCUAGACUAAUGCCUGAAAAACUAUCCAGAACUCAGCAUGAGACACAUUCCCAUUAAGGGGAUCAACAGGCUAAGGUUGGUGGUUAUCAUUCUUAUAGGAAUUAGCUCUUUGGGGAGGCAUUUUCUAUCAUAAAAGAGCAUAAAUUAAUAAUAAAGAGAGACAAUUGUAAGCACGUCGAAUUAUGAAAGAAAGAGAUAAUUUUUCCUAAAAUGUCUUAUAGCCUCUUGCUUAUAGAUAUGGCACACUACACACUGAUGAAUAAGACUUGAUGUAACGCGGAUUGUCAGACUCCCUAGGACUCUUUAAACCUUAGGCUUUGAUACCAAGUUUUUAAUGCCUUGAAAUCUCAUCACAAAGCAUCACACAGUACUUAAAGCUACAAGUAGCCCUAAGCUAACCCUUUGAGCCUGCUACUACUUCUAACACUUACUUUAGGAUGAAUAAACCAAGCAAUAAUGCUAUAUUAUAUCAUUUUGAACUGAAGUAACUAAAAAACAAUAUCUAGAUAGAAAAAUACUGAAAAAUCUAGAAACUUCAACCGAUAGUCCAACAAGCCUCUACUUACUAAGAACUAGAGAUUUAUUAGGACAAACCUCCAACUGACUCGUACUGAAAUGGAAAGGAAUAAACUAACUAUUACAAAGAAUAAAAUUAGGAAAAUAGGCCCUCAAACUAUGAGGACUCACCAACAGUAAGGAUGUAGAUAGAGGUACUCGAAGAUCACUAUCGUUGUUGAGACUGAGCACCUGAAUCUACAUUAUGAGAUAAUGUAGCACAUAGACAUAUAUAUAGAUCAGUACUUUAAGGAUGUACUGAGUAUAUGGGGGUGUAUGCAUUAAGUAAACAAUAUCAUUACUCUUUAUGAAACUAUGCAUGUAAAUAUGAAUGACUCAUAUAGCUUGAAUAAGUUUGAAAUAUAAAUCUUAUAAGUCAUGAACAAUGAAACAUGUAAUAUAAAUCUCAUGAGUCAUUAUAGUUAGUUAAAAAUUUGUAUUCUCCUCUUAUUAUCAAAGCUUGCAAAACAAAAAAGAAUCUUAAAAUAAUAACUUUCAAACUUAUACUUUUAUCUUAAGGAGAAUAAAGAACUUCUUUUGAAACUUUAGGAAUUCAAGGACUUAUGAUUAUGGAACUUUGGGACUCUUUGGGAACUUGGGAGUUUCUUCUAACCGACAUAAACCAUGUGAGCUGAAAUGGAAUCCAACGUCUUGCCCAUAAUGGGGACAGCUGUUCUACCCUUGCCAUCAGAAUAGAAUCUUAACUUUAGUGAUCACUUGUCUUAGACCACUAGGGGAAAAUCAUAGACCUACGGUGGCUCCUAGUUCUGAGGCAUGAAACCUUGGAAUCAAGCCCAAUUCGGUGAUAAAUACUACUCCCAUACUUAGGCUCAGAACUUUUUAGGAAAAUCCACUUUAAAUAAUACUAUAAUGUGUAAUAAAAGCUCAUUAUGCUUCUCUUUGCUUUAAAUCUUAGAUAAAAGUGGAUUCCUAUCUUAGCUUAGGAUCAAAGAUCAACCUUCUUUAUAAUCAAAGUACUUGCUUGUUUAAGUCAUGAUAAUACAUUAUUUUCAAGAAACAUCACAAUUCAUACUUGACUUAAAGAAUAUAU